rnacentral:pre_miRNA from 1 species
GGCAAGCCAAGGACGCCGUCUACAAGGAGCUGCAGUUCACGAAAAGUGCGCUUGAACAACUAUCUCGCUUGGUCGCAUCUUCAGGUACAGAGGCUUCGAGUGGGAUUGAGAAGGUUGAUUGCGCAUGGCUUGAGAAGGUUGAUCCCACUCGAAGUCACUGUACCUGGAGAAGGUCCUUGUCUCCACUCACUGUGACUGCUCUUGAAACAUGAAGGGGGUGUUUAGCAGAGGCUAAAGCUGGUGUUGCC